AACGAACGCUGGCGGCGCGCCUAAUACAUGCAAGUCGAGCGAGAAGACGUAGCAAUACGUUUGUAGAGCGGCGAACGGGUGAGGAAUACAUGGGUAACCUACCCUCGAGUGGGGAAUAACUAGCCGAAAGGUUAGCUAAUACCGCGUACGCUCCUUGGACUUCGGUUCAGGGAGGAAAGCGAUACCGUGGGUAUCGCGCUCUUGGAUGGGCUCAUGUCCUAUCAGCUUGUUGGUGAGGUAACGGCUCACCAAGGCUUCGACGGGUAGCUGGUCUGAGAGGACGAUCAGCCACACUGGCACUGCGACACGGGCCAGACUCCUACGGGAGGCAGCAGUAAGGAAUAUUGCGCAAUGGGCGAAAGCCUGACGCAGCGACGCCGCGUGGGGGAUGAAGGUCUUCGGAUUGUAAACCCCUUUCGG
rnacentral:rRNA from 1 species